AAUUAGAAGUUAAAAAAAUGCUAUGUGUUUGUUAAAUAAGUCAAUUUUAAGGUAAAACAUGUUUAAAUAGACUGUAAUUUACUUUACUUUUGUGUAAUGUUCUUUUGUGAAAAGAUAUGCAACAACCAGGGGCGCCUGGCAACAGGCAAAAAAUAAAUAAAAGAAAAAAGAAAGAAAAGAAAAGGCUUAGGCCUAUCAUGUAUCUUGCACGUUAAUUGCGAAAUUUUGUGUGGUUAAUUAUUAAUAAAUAGUUUGCUAGUAGUAAGCGGCAUUGAGACAUUUGUCAAAAGCAUGAAAAACCAAGAAGACCAUCAACUGGCAAAGCGCCAAACACGCACACGGAGAGGAGUACCUUCCCGCUUUUGAGGUCACGUGAACUGCGCUGCUUCGGCUUGAUCUGCAUGCAAGUGUCAGCGCCAUUUUAGCACGCAUACAAUCUGUGGGAAUAACGUUACAUGGUGGCACAACACGACUUCUGGGGACUCAACAUUUAUUUUUAAGACUUAAAGGAAUUGGAGGAGAAUGGGAUUGCGGUAUCAGAUGAAACCGUAGUCAAAGGAACCUUGUAUUGCAUUGCUGGAGAUAAUCUAGGGUGACGAUCCUAAUCUAUGUGGACCAGCCCGCACCAUUGAGAGCUACAAUUCAGCUGUAGAUCGCAUCCAGACUGAAGAUACACAAGUGGAAGGAGUAAAAUUCAAAAAUGGAUGAUGCAGAGCAAAGCAACAUAAGCAAUGCCAUUAUUAGUGUGUUACCAGACCUCCCAACCUCAAUUGUAAAUAUUGUAUUAGAGAUGAUACAAUCUUUGGGUGUGGAAACCACUGAGGAUUUUCAGUACAUCCAGGAAGCUGAUCUGCUUUCAGUACUGAGACCAAUUCAAGCUAGAAAAUUGUUGGCUGCUUGGAAACAAACCACACAGACCACAGAAUUCCAUGGCCAGUCAACAUUAAAUUCUUCAGCAUCCUCAGCAUGCUCCUCAAUCUCAUUCUCUCCCUCACCCAGCCACUUAAUUACUGCUGCAGAUUGGUUUGACAGCUUCCAGGUUCCAUGGGAGAAGCUUCCUGAAGCCUUGAUGCAGUGUUUGGAGAGAGGGAAAAGGCCAAAGCCUAGGUUACGUAGAGAAAUGAUUCGGAUCGUUGUUUCUGAGAUGAUACUUGCCUGUGCUUCUCCCAAUAAACAAGCCUCGACAGAAAUUGCCAAGAAAAUGGUUGCAAAGUAUCCGCAGUCACUGCAGGAUGUCAUAGAAGGUGAUGUGAUAGGACCAGGAUAUCACUCACUGGUCAAGCAGUUACAAGCUCGAAUCGACAAUGUAAAGCGGUCUUCACUACCACGGAUAUUAAAGCGCAAACAGGUGUCAGAUGAGUAUGACAC